rnacentral:misc_RNA from 1 species
CCUUUCAGUUUCGACUACGAUUCAGUCUGAUAUUGUCACGCGAGUUAAGCGUACGCGUAGUUGCAACCCUUCGUCUGAAGCGUGCGUGGCCUUGGUUCAGGCCUCCCGUAGAAUUGACCUGCGGCAACCAGGAUUUUCGUAUACAUGGGUCCUAAAUCAGAGUCCUGCAGACCUGCUAGUAUUCACUUUGAUCAUCAUAACGCUAAUUUCCGCAAUCUUAAGAGUAUCAAGUUCAAGUAAUUGGAGCUUUCUUUCCUAACAUUUUCAUAAUAUACACGACCAUACGCAAUCUCAAGAGGAAUAACCAGCGGAAAAUACGUUUUUUAUCUUAUCCAGAGUCCCACUCGACCCAUUCAUCAUAAUAUGUGGAUCGGUUGAUCUUGAAAAGGGUCAGAAUAUUUCAACGAAUUUUUCUUCAAAAUCCCUUGUUCAUAUGGGAUGAAACAAAUACAAGUUGACCCUUUUAUUUCACACGAUAAUUUUCCAAUCAGAUCGUUCUAAAAUUUGGAUGACAGAUUUUUUGACAAUAAAAUCCACCGUCAAUCAAGAUAUUCGUUAAUUUUUCAAUAUUGUUAAUGAUCGCAGUUAAAAAUCAUCGUCAUUAUUUGCUGAAGGAAAAAACAACAGGUUGCGGAAAAGCUAACUACAAAUGAAAAUCAUCGACUGAGUGCACAUCAUCGAGACAAAAUAGUCAGAUCGAAGAUUGAAGAAAUUACAUCUCCUCACCGACUAAUUAAUCAUGCUCAGUUUAAAUAUUCGAUGAUCCCAUCGAUACGACGUUAAUUCCCACGAAUGUUACAUCAGCCAAACAUUUCAUCGAAAGCGUAGAAAGUUAACAGAAAAUUUCCAACAUACCUUCUAAUUUACAUCCAAAAUAUAUCUGUCCACAUUAAAUUCACCCUCGAGCGUACCUAACAAUCGUUCAAUCAUCAGAAUGGUGAUGAAAACUGAGAGAACUAGAAACGGCCAUGAAUUGGCGCCCCUGAAUGACGAGGGUGACAAUCCCGGCGAAGUUGGGGGACACAACGUGACAAUAAUUGUUGCCGGUGGUCAGAGUGGAGGAAUUCAAAAAGGAAAGGAGGAGAAUCGUGCAGAAUGGAGCGGAAAGAUGCAGUUUUUCCUAAGUAUAAUCGGGUACAGCGUGGGCCUUGGAAACAUAUGGAGGUUUCCUUACCUAUGCCAGCAAAACGGGGGUGGGGCUUUCCUUAUCCCGUUCUUCAUCAUGUUAGUUCUCGAAGGAAUUCCUCUGUUCCUUAUUGAGCUUGGAAUCGGGCAACAGAUGCGACAAGGAUCAUUGGGAGUUUGGAACACGAUUCACCCCUGGUUAGGUGGCAUUGGAAUUGCCUCAUGCAUCGUCACCUUCUUCGUAGCUCUGUACUACAAUGUCAUUAUUGCCUGGUGUUUCUACUACCUUCUGAAUUCCCUACAGGCUGUGACGAUAAACUUUGGUAUGCCGUUGCCCUGGGCAUCGUGUCCCAUGGUGGACGGAACGCCGGUCGAAGAGUGUGCGAAGAGCUCUGAAACCGCGUAUUUCUGGUACAGAACAACUUUGGACGCAUCACCCUCAAUUGAGGAUGGUCAAGGUCUGAAAUGGUGGAUCGUUGUCUGUCUACUCAUAAGUUGGAUCACCGUUUUUUUCAUCGUCAUGAAAGGGAUUCAGUCUUCGGGCAAGGUGGUUUACUUCACGUCAAUGUUCCCCUACUUGGUACUCACAAUUUUCUUCAUCAGGGGGAUAACGUUGAAGGGUGCGAGUGCGGGUCUUGUUCACAUGUACACUCCGAAGGUGGAAAUGCUGCUGAAACCGACCGUUUGGUUGGAUGCAGCGACCCAAGUUUUUUACAGUUUUGGUCUAGCUUUUGGUUCGCUGAUAGCUUUUGGCAGCUACAAUACUCCGGAUAACCAUUGCGUUCGGGACGUAAUUCUUGUGAGCAUUUGCAACGCAUUUACAGCGAUCUAUGCCAGUGUCGUAAUAUUUGCUAUACUGGGUUUCAAGGCGAUGAAAAACGUCGAUCAAUGCAUCGCCAGUAACAAAGAAUUGCUCUCGCUAAAUGGAUUCCUUGUGUCCAAUUCAACGGAAGAAGAGUACGAGGAUAUAGUGGCUUCGUUUAAUUCGUCGAUCUCAAAUUUCACUCUAAAAACUUGCAGCCUGAGCGAACAACUUGACGGGGCUGCCGAAGGAACUGGACUUGCCUUCAUAGUGUUUACUCAAGCAAUAGUGGAACUACCAGGUGCGCCAUUUUGGUCCUGCAUAUUUUUCCUGAUGCUCUUAGCUCUGGGGUUGGGAUCACAAAUCGGAAUACUCGAAGGGAUGCUGUGUGUCAUUUUUGACAUAGAUCUUUUCAAGAGAAUUAAAAAACAGUAUAUUACUGCCGUCGUCUGCAUAAUCUGCUUCUUCGUCGGUUUGAUAUUCACAACUGGAGCAGGAGAAUACUGGCUGAAACUUUUUGACAGUUUUGCCGGCACGAUUGGUCUCGUUGUUGUCGGAUUGAUGGAAAUGAUUGCUGUAAUUUAUGUUUACGGUCACGAGAGGUUCUCAAAGGACAUAGAAAACAUGACGGGGUAUCGUCCAGGCUUGUACUGGCAGUUAACGUGGAGAUUUCUGGCUCCCUUAAUCAUGGUGGUGAUUCUUUGCUCCAGCAUCGUUUGCAUGUUUGUCGAAAAACCAGUGUACUCUGCUUGGGACGCGAUGAAGGGAGUCGCCGUUCAUACCAGCUACCCAAGUUGGGUCCUAGCGAUCGCUGUGAUCAUUGUGAUCGUUGGAAUAGCGCCGAUGCCACUCGUCUUUUUGCUCAGAAGAUUCCAGUGCGUCAAACUGGACGUGGAUAUCCAUCAAGGAAGCAUUCGACGUAUCGACACGACAGUUUCGACCAAGGAAAUGAUGGGCGAUGUUGAUGUUCAGCUGCGUUUCUGAUCUUCUCGUCGUGCUGAUCGACUAUGGCCACUUUGUAUCGAAUGUUUGAUCUGCAGUCGUAGCUGGUAAGCCCUUCGAUCUCUGGUAACGUCGGUAACGACCAUAAAUAUCUGGACGAGUAUCACGACAGGUUAGAGGAUUUCCCCGAAGAAGAGGAAGACGAUGACGACGACAGCGACGACGACAAUAACAGCGCGC